CAAGAUCAUUGAUUUUGAUUUGUGAUUACAUACGUACGUAUACAUGGAUCUUCUUCUUCCAUAGCGUCGUUUAUUUUUCUCAGAUCUUUGCAAUUUCAUUUGCUAGGGUGGAUGUUUAUCUUUCCUGGCUUUUUUAAGUAUUUAAAAUUAUAUAUUCUUAUGUUCCCAUUAAAGUCAAUGGGAACAUCAUGCAAUCUCAGCCCUUAGAUGAAUGUGAGAUAAAAUCCUGGCCGUUAUAAUUCACUAAAGCUUCUAGAAGUAGAGGUUUUUUUACAGUUUCCUGGAUUCCUUUUGACCUGCUUUUUGGGCAGUUUCAUGCGGUUUCAGCAGCCCCACUCCCCACCAUUUUAGGGAACGCCAAUGACAAGCCUUCUCACAACGUCUUCUUCUUCCCUACCAAAUCAACACCCCGAAAUUCCAAUUGUUGGCUUUAAUUAAUCAACAUCGAGCGUCUUCUUGACAGUUUUGUAGGAUUCCUUUUGCAGCAGAUCUUAUAUUAGAUUGCUAUAUCAAACCAACAUUCAAGCAUUCUUCCAACGCGAUUUGAUUAAUUGAUUCAACACAACCACCACAAAUGGCGUCAUUCAACAACGACUUAACCUUCAAGUUACAGUUAGGGUUCUGUUUAUCCGUUCAAGACAAAGGCGCUUUGAAGCAAUUUUGAAUUUAGAAGGUAAAGUUUUUCAUGCUAAAUAUUUAUAAGCUAAUUAUAUAGUGUUUUGGAUGUUUCAUGUUUUUGCCCAUUAUUCAAAUUUGCGAAUGCAGUUAAGUGUUAAAGGAAAUGCUAUCUUUAGUUAGUAUAAUUGUUAAUCAAACUAAUGAUAAUAUCCUGGAUCAAUUGAUUCUCUUCGAGUUUUUUGUAGGAUGAUAAGUUUGAACGGCUUUUAAACAUGUAUGCUGACAAGGUGAAGAAUAGGGCAGAAAAUUUUGUAUUUUGUUUUGACAGGGAUUAAGUUGACCUCACAACUACUCCUAGUAGUCUUGAACUGGAAGAUGAUGACAUGAUUGAGGUCCAUGUAAAGCUAAUUAUAUCGGAACAGUUAGUCAGCUGCGAGAACUGGCUGAAUUGGACCGGUGGUCGUAUCCGUUAUUAGAAUGGUCUUUUUAGAUUCUGAUUUGAAUCUUAAUUUGUUGUUUCUUAUGUUUUGGCAAUUUCAUUAUCCACUAAUGCGAUUAUGAAGGGCGAGUCACUGUUGAUUUGUAAAUCAGAUUGGUAAGCGAAAUCCCGACGCUAAUUUACUUUUGUUGAUUUUUAAUUAUAUUUUAAAGCCAGUUUUAAACUCUUAUUCUUGUCAUUUGGUGUGUACAAUAACUUCAUUUUUUUGCUUGGUUUGAUUAGCUAUUUUGCUGCAAGAUUCGCGUACUAAACGAUUUAAAUUCUUUGCUAAAAUCAUAAAUUUUGUUUUGUCUAAGAAGUUUACAAUUUGUUUUGUUUAUUUUUAUGUGUUUGUAGUUUGAUCAGCUACUAUACAGCAGCUGCAUUUGAAUGGCUGCAUCUAUAGCUACAAUGUUCAAAGAGAAAUAUAAUAGCAUCUCCAACAGUACAAGAAACAAGGUCACUUUGGGAACACUUCUACAGUUUAAUCCGGCCAAAUAUAGUGUAAGUCACUUCUUUUCUCAGCUAUUGCUAUCGUAAUUUUGCGCUGAUUAAUUAUGUUAAAUCAUACUUAACUGGCAGACUUACUAUGAAAUUGGUGUGUGGGUUAUUUAUUGCCUUUGAUGAAUGUAUACUAAAUAUACUCAAUUAAAACUUUCAAACCACAUAUAUAAAAGUUGAUGCAACAGGUUCAACGUUUUUUCUUUGUUUUUUGGAUGACUUGGCGAAAGGGCAUCAAAAUGGUUUAAAAUUCAAACCCUCCACCUUCCUCCAAGAGCAGUGAAGAUUCAUAAUAUGUUUAAGAAGGUUUGUAUUUUGUUAUGAAUUUGAAUAAACUGGUAUUGUGGUGUAUGUUGUGUAUACUAUAGGCCUCAAAAUAUCUAUUUAUUUUCACUUUAGCAGCUGAAUUUAUUGCUAUACAACUUUCCAAGCCUAUUGGUUGUAUAUAAAAUCUUAUUUGUGAUUCUUUUGUUUAAGUUUUGAUUUUUUA